rnacentral:tRNA from 1 species
CUAGCUCAGAGGUUAGAGCGUCGUGCUAAUAACGCGAAUGUCACAGGUUCGAAUCCUGU